rnacentral:rRNA from 1 species
UACGUAGGUGGCAAGCGUUGUCCGGAUUUAUUGGGUUUAAAGGGUGCGUAGGCGGUGUCCUAAGUCAGUUGUGAAAUACGGCAGCUUAACUGUCGAGGUGCAAUUGAUACUGGGACACUUGAGUACUGAUGAGGUAAGCGGAAUGGACGGUGUAGCGGUGAAAUGCUUAGAUAUCGUCCAGAACACCGAUAGCGAAGGCAGCUUACUAAGGAGUAACUGACGCUGAGGCACGAAAGUGUGGGGAUCAAACAGGAUUAGAUACCCCCGUAGUCC